CUGCACUCCAGCCUGGGCAACAAGAGUGAAACCUCCGUUAAAAACAAACAAACAAAAAGGCCAGUCUUGCUUUCUGGGUGGACUAAUGGCAUUUAGCCAAAAUGAAAAAAAAAAUCAUUAAGUUGAAAAACCCUGCGGGACAGGUUAUGCCAAGAGGGUGAAUUGGACAGCUUUACAGAUGCCUCAUGUUAGGAAAUUUUCCUGGAUUUGAGUCUUCAAUGUGGGAGCAGAGUUACCUGAAUAUAUGGAGUUGAUGGAGACAUUCCUUGAUGAGAAGCAGAAAUUCCCCAGGGACCUUGUAAAUCUGAAGCAGAUAAAGGGAAAUGAAGAAACCAAGUUUUACAACUUUGAUGAGUGGCAAAAUUUGUCAAUAAGAGCUAGAUAUUAAGUAAUUAGCUUUUAGGAAGCAAAGUGUAUUGGACUUGGCUAUGAUAUGAAGGAAUUCAUUUAAUAAAUCAAAACGAAAACAAAAACAACAAAAACAAAGAAGCGAAGCAUGAAUCUCCUAAUCAGCAGAAAAGGGAGGACAGCCGGAGACAAUCGUAUUCCUGAUCGAUACUGAUGUAAACUUGUGCUGGAACAGCAACAGAUGACUUUCUGCAAAGGCACUGAUAAUAGCUAUGAGGAAUAAAUAUUGCAGAUGGAUUAAAUCAAAGAAUCAAAUUUCAAAGCCAAAUUAGUCGUGAAAAGGAGGGAGAAGCAGAAAUGAAGAAAAAAGAACCACAGAAGUAAAAUCAGCAGCAUUGAAAAGAAAAUCAUCUGCUGUUUGAAUAAAGACCCAAGAUCUUUCAUUGUUGGAUCCCCAAAGCCAGUGCCUUUUUUGAGCAGCAAGUCCCAAGAUCAAGAAAUCAGAAGGAACUAAUACUUUAACUAAUUAGUAGUAAUGAAAAUUUACUAGACAUCAAUGACAAAUUUACAAGGCAAAUUUAUUUCCAAAGUACAUUCAUAUAUAUCACAGGUAAAAUGAGGUUUUCACAAACACCAUUUUAAACAUAGGGUUUAUUUGCAGGAGCUAUUUUUGUGGCUUAGGGAACAAAUGGUUCAUUGAAACAGAACUUUGCUGGUCUGGUUUCAAAGAAUUCUAUUAUAUAAAAGAUUCUGUAGAACAGAUGGGAUCAAAAGUCCCUGAACACAGAACAGGAAUAUCAGGUAAUGAAAAUGUUCUUUUGGUAUAGUAUUAUGUUUUAUGCUUUGAAAGUAUUAGUAUGCAAGGAACUCAGGCAAGAGCAUAAAAGAGGAAGUAGGAAUAAUACUUUAUGUUUGAAUAGGCUUUAGACUUUCCAAAAUACUUACAUCCUACUGAAGCUUGGUAGCAAGUAUUAUCCUUGUUUUAUUGAUGAAAAACAUGCUUCCAAGAAAGAUGCAUUACAAGCGACAGAAAACUCAAAGUGGAUUACACAGUAAAAGGUAUCUGUCUCUCUGUCUGUCUCUGUCUCUGUGUUUUGGCUCACAGAAUUGAAAAGUUCAGGACUAGAGUGAGCUUUCAAUGUGCCUUGAAA
rnacentral:lncRNA from 1 species